UUGAAAUGUAUAUAAGAAAUACUCAAGUUAAUAAAAAAAACAAAACAAAACAAAAAAAAAGAAUGAUUGUACUUAUGAAUUGAUGUAACAACAGUAUUGUAUGCUUUUAAAAGAAAUUACACAAAUGGGCAAAGUAAUUACAGUAAAUAUUAGACAGAAGGUUGGAGUGUUUAUAAAUGUGUGGUUAUAGAAAAAUACUUGGAACUGUGCCAUCAAAUGCAUGCAUCUCAGUCAGUUAAAGUGCUUUUAUUCUAUUGAGUAAAGAAAACUGAUCAGUCAAUCAAUCAAUCAAUCAAUCAAUCAAUAGAUUCUUUCAAGCUAUUGCAGAGUGUUGUUUACUUUUGACAAAUUAGCAUUUAAGUGUAGUCAUGCAUUAAUUGCAAUAGUAUGAUAUAUUUUCCUGAAUAGUACAAUAGUGGGUACUUCUGUGAUCCUUUUUUUUUCUGCUUCAUACCUUUGAAAUAUUAACAUUGACGUAUGCAAUAGAAACAUUUUUUUCCACAUUUGACACAUCAUUUUAAUUGUUCUCUUUGCAGUUUUACUUGUGACUAUGUGUAGUCCCAUAAACGUUCACAAGAAGAAGCAAUGGUACCAGAAAGUCUGUCUCUGCACUGAGCACAAGUAGAGCCACAGUACAUUAGGCAGAUUAUCUCCCCUCUCCCCUGGUCCAGCCUGCUGUUGGACCUUGACUCAUGCUUUCAUCGUGUAGAGUCCAAUCACAAUACUCAGACCUCUUUGUGACCGUGAGGGUUUGAAAAGCCAGGAAGAGGAAAAGGUAGAUUUGAAGAACAAUAAGAAGGCUCUACCACAGAAGGUAAAGAGGAUACACAAAACCUGUGCUUUUUUGAAUUUGUGAGUAGGAAAUACAAUCCACCCUCUCCCUGCUUUGUUUCUUUUUUCUUUCUAUUCCAGAUCACAAGGAGAGACUUCACAUGGGUUUUUCUAUUUAUAUUUUGGCUAUAUUCUCAGCAGAAAAUCAGCAUCAACUGCCAGACAUAGGGUUGGAUCAUGUUUCUCAUGACUUCUUGGCUCUACCUAGCCUUUGUUUUUCUGGAAGACUCUGACCUGUAAGUUGAAUUACAAUGCACAGAAUUUAUAAGCAAGAUGGUUGAUGGAUUCCAAGGCCCUGAAGUUGUAAAGUUGUUAUAGAUACCUCUAUAACAGUAUAUUAGCAAUAAAAACCUUAAUAUAUUCAGUUUUUAAACACUGUAUCUGAAGUGUUCAUCAUAUUACUAACUUCUAUAAUACUAUUAUUGUUUAAUUAUAUGAAUAUUAUUUUAAAAAUCUGUCAGUCAUAUAAAAUUUGAACUUCUAAAACAACGCUGGAAUUGUCACCUACCCAAGCCUCACCUAAAUAAUUUUUAACCAAUGGUCUUGAAAAGAUUGGCUAAGUUCAUAUUCAUAAAGAGCUCAAAGACAUGUCUAUUGGUAAUAGUAGCAAGAAACUUAUGAGAGUGAUCACCCACUUUCUGAUUUAUUCCAUAAGGAAUGGCCUAUUUCUAGUAUGCCAAAUUGACACAUUAACAAACUACUUCCUAAAUUCUUAUCGUUAUGCCCAUAAAUCAGUACACAUCUCAACACUUAGCAGAGAAGCGUUUUUUGUUGUUGUUGUUGUUGUUGUUGUUGUUGUUGUUGUUGUUGUUUUUAUGGUUUUUUUUGGUAGAUUGCAAUUAAUCCAAGGAACAACAUUAUUUCAGUGGGCAGAUGAAAAGCAACUAUAUUCAUUUUGAAGUGAGAUCAUCAUCUCUUGCAUUGACUCGGCAGUAGUGUAUGAAAAUGUACAUGGAGCCUUCUGCCUGUCCGUUCUACUGGGACAGACUCCUAGCAAGUCUGAUCCCUGGAAGAGGCUAUACCUUCAAACGUACCAGAGGAUCCACUGCCACUCAGCAUUUGGUAAGAAUCCCUGCCCCAAGUCCCACAGCAGCUGCUAGGGGCCAGUGGACUAGGAGAUCCACCAUCUCCCCAAAAACCCCACCUGUCAAAUACCAAUCCUGUUCUGUCUGGUCCUUUCUGCUGGGACAGACUCCUAGCAAGCCUGCUCCCUGGAAGAAUCUAUAUAUGCUGACAUUCCAGAGGACCCACUGUACUAUGAACUCAUGUCCUGAGGCAUCCCAGGAGAUCUGCUGUGCCCUUUGCAGCUUGAAGGUACCCCUGUAUGCAGGGCAAUUGGACAAUUAACACCACAGUCUGAAGCUCUCCCAGGGACUCUGAGGAUGCAGGGCAAUUGACACAUAAAACUGAGAACUUCCCUGGAGUAUAGCUGCACACAAGGAAGCAGAAACCACAACCAAUAGACACACUCCCCAUCCCCCCAUCCCGGGAGAACAACUUCUCACAGGACAACAGUGUGACUCCUCCUCUAAAUACCCAACAGUCGGGAGGCCUACCAGGAGUACUGCAGUGCAGCCAGGGCAAUAAAUCAGCAGCUUCUCUACCCCUCUGAAUUCCUUCCAGUUGGAAGGCCACAAAGUAGGUCUAGAGCCAUGGCCACCAGGAUCCCUGUUGUAACACAUGGACAACAGGGGCAGACUCCAGACAGAGUCACCCAGGCCAGCAACACUAGGGAUUAAGCAGAUGGUGAGAGGCAAGCACAAGACCAUAAGCAACAGGAGCCAAUAUACAUGGGCAUCAUCAGAACCCAUUUCUCACCACAGAAAGUUCUGAAUAUACCAAUAUACCUAAAAAUCAGGAAGCUGACCGAAAAAUAGUAUCUCAUGAAGAUAAUAGAGUCCUUUAAGGUCCAAGACCUAAAUGUGUAAGUAAAAUCAAUAAAGAAAACACAAAUGGAGGCAAGUCAGGAAACAGAAAACCUGGGAAAGAGUUCAGGAAUUACAGAUAUAAGUAUUAUCAAAAGAAUACAAGAGAAAGAAGAGAGAAUCUCAGGUGUAGAAGAUAAUGGUAGAAGACAUUAUCACAACAGUCAAAGAAAAUUUAAACCAUUAAGACUUCUAACCCAAUAGGAUCCCCUUGGGAGGAAUCAGAGGAAGUAUUGAAAGAACUGAAGGGGCUUGUAACCCCAUAAGAACAACAAUGCCAACCAACCAGAGCUUCCAGGGACUAAACCACUACCCAAAGACUAUACAUGGACUGACCCAGGGCUCCAACUGCAUAUGUAGCAGAGAAUAGCCAUGUUGGGGCACCAGGGGAAGGGGAAUCCCUUGGUCCUGCCAAGGUUGGAUCCCCAGUGCAGGGGAAUAUAGGGGCAAU